GAUGGCCGCUCCCACGAUUGUGGGGGAGGUCUCCACUGGGGAGCGGCAGAGGAAAUUCGGUCGAAAAAGAGAUAAAGUUGAAGGAAAUAAAAUUGGCACGGAGGCUGGGAAAGUAGUUUCCCUAAAGGAGUCUUAGAAAUAGGGUUGGUCUGGAACCUAAGGGGCGGAGCCGACGCGUAGAGCCGCUUUGCGCGUGCGCAUCACCUAGGCGGUUAGAUUUGAAUACUUCACUGAGGCUAGUCGGGCGUUGUGAGCGGACUGCUAGAGGCGGCGGUCUGUUUCCGCUCUGAGGAAACUCAGAGCGUGUGGACCCCAAACAAGUCUGCGCAAAAUUUGUCGAGGAGGUUUGCCGCGGCAGAAAAGUUUUCUUCAAAAAUGGAUGGGGUGUUUUCAGAGGCUAAUGAAGAAAAUGACAAUAUAGAGAGACCUGUUAGAAGACGGCAUUCUUCAAUUUUGAAACCCCCAAGGAGUCCUCUUCAGGACCUCAGAGGUGGGAAUGAAACAGUUCAGGAAUCCAAUGCUUUGAGAAAUAGGAAAAACUCUCGUCGAGUCAGCUUUGCAGAUACUAUAAAGGUAUUCCAGACGGAGUCUCAUAUGAAAAUAGUGAGAAAGUCAGAAAUGGAAGAAGCAGGAGAACAUCUUCUUUUGAUACAGAAUAAGAAAUUAGAAGAUAAUUACUGUGAAAUUACUGUUUUCAAUUAUAGAACAUAACCAUGAAAGGAAACAUGCAAAUGACCAGACAGUCAUUUUUUCAGAUGAAAACCAGAUGGACCUGACAUCAAGUCACACUGUAAUGAUUACCAAAGGCCUUUUAGAUAAUCCCAUAAGUGAAAAGUCCACCAAGAUAGAUACCACAUCAUUUCUAGCUAAUUUAAAGCUUCACACCGAGGACUCAAGAAUGAAAAAAGAAGUAAAUUUUUCCAUGGAUCAAAACACUUCUUCAGAAAAUAAAAUAGAUUUCAAUGACUUCAUAAAAAGAUUGAAAACAGGAAAAUGUAGUGCUUUUCCUGAUGUGCCUGAUAAAGAAAAUUUUGAGAUACCUAUUUAUUCCAAGGAACCGAACAGUGCCUCUUCUACACAUCAAAUGCAUGUAUCUCUUAAUGAAGAUGAAAAUAACAGUAAUAUUACUAGGAUCUUUAGAGAAAAAGAUGAUGGGAUGAAUUUCACCCAGUGUCAUACAGCCAAUAUUCAGACAUUGAUUCCCACAUCCAGUGAGACCAACUCACGGGAAUCUAAAGGUAAUGAUAUUACAAUUUAUGGCAAUGACUUUAUGGACUUGACAUUUAACCACACUUUGCAGAUUUUACCUGCAACAGGUAAUUUUUCUGAAACAGAAAAUCAAACUCAGAAUGCCAUGGAUUUAACAACAGGUUAUGGAACUAAAGCUUCAGGAAAUAAAACAAUUUUUAAGAGUAAACAAAAUACUGCUUUUCAAGACCUUUCCAUAAACUCUGCAGACAAAAUACAUAUUACCAGAAGUCAUAUUACGGGGGCAGAAACUCACAUAGUCUCACAGACUUGUAAUCAGGAUGCCAGAAUAUUAGCCAUGACCCCAGAAUCUAUAUGUUCUAAUCCAUCUAUUCAAGGUUAUAAGACUGUUUUCUAUUCUAGUUGUAAUGAUGCCAUGGAAAUGACCAAAUGUCUCUCAAAUAUGAGAGAGGAGAAAAAUUUGCUAAAGCAUGACAGUAAUUAUUCUAAAAUGUAUUGCAAUCCAGAUGCUAUGUCUUCUCUCACAGAGAAAACUAUUUAUUCCGGAGAGGAGAACAUGGACAUUACCAAGAGUCAUACAGUUGCAAUAGAUAAUCAGAUUUUUAAACAAGAUCAAUCAAAUGUGCAAAUAGCAGCUGCACCAACACCUGAAAAAGAAAUGAUGCUCCAAAAUCGUAUGACCACAUCAGAAGAUGGGAAAAUGAAUGUAAAUUGUAACUCAGUUCCUCAUGUAUCUAAGGAAAGAAUACAGCAGAGCCUGUCAAAUCCUUUGUCUAUUUCAUUGACUGAUAGAAAGACUGAACUCUUAUCAGGUGAAAAUACGGAUUUGACUGAAAGUCACACAAGUAACUUAGGAAGUCAGGUUCCUCUUGCAGCUUAUAAUCUAGCACCGGAGAAUACCAGUGAAUCUCACUCUCAGAGCAAAAGCUCUUCAGAUGAAUGUGAAGAAAUUACCAAAAGUCAUAAUGAACCAUUUCAACGAUCAGACAUAAUAGCCAAAAACAGCUUAACCGACACCUGGAACAAAGACAAAGAUUGGGUUUUGAAGAUUUUGCCCUACCUUGAUAAAGAUUCUCCUCAGUCAGCUGAUUGUAAUCAGGAGAUAGCAACAAGCCAUAAUAUAGUCUACUGUGGUGGAGUUCUUGAUAAACAAAUAACUAAUAGAAAUACAGUAUCAUGGGAACAAUCUUUGUUUUCUACCACAAAGCCAUUAUUUUCAUCAGGACAGUUCUCUAUGAAAAAUCAUGAUACUGCUAUAAGUAGUCAUACAGUGAAAUCUGUACUAGGCCAGAAUUCUAAACUGGCUGAGCCACUGAGGAAAAGUUUAAGCAAUCCCACACCUGACUAUUGCCAUGACAAGAUGAUUAUAUGUUCAGAGGAAGAGCAAAAUAUGGAUCUAACAAAGAGCCACACUGUUGUCAUUGGAUUUGGUCCUUCUGAACUACAAGAACUUGGUAAAACUAAUUUAGAACACAAUACUGGCCAGCUAACAACAAUGAACAGACAGAUAGCUGUAAAAGUUGAAAAAUGUGGUAAAAGUCCCAUAGAAAAAAGUGGAGUACUUAAAUCUAACUGUAUUAUGGAUGUGUUAGAGGACGAAAGUGUACAGAAACCUAAAUUUCCAAAGGAAAAGCAAAAUGUCAAAAUUUGGGGAAGGAAAAGUGUUGGUGGACCAAAAAUUGAUAAGACUAUUGUAUUUUCAGAAGACGAUAAGAAUGAUAUGGAUAUCACUAAGAGUUAUACAAUAGAAAUAAACCAUAGACCUUUAUUAGAGAAACGUGAUUGUCAUUUGGUGCCAUUGGCAGGAACUUCUGAAACUAUUUUAUAUUCAUGUGGGCAGGAUGACAUGGAGAUCACUAGAAGUCACACAACUGCCUUAGAAUGUAAAACUGUCUCACCAGAUGAAAUAACUACUAGGCCUAUGGACAAAACUGUAGUGUUUGUAGAUAAUCCUGUUGAACUAGAAAUGACAGAGUCCCAUACUGUUUUCAUUGACUACCAA
rnacentral:sRNA from 1 species